CGUGUAGGCGGCCUGAUAAGUCUGGAGUGAAAGUCCUGCUUUUAAGGUGGGAAUUGCUUUGGAUACUGUCGGGCUCGAGUGCAGGAGAGGUUAGCGGAAUUCCCGGUGUAGCGGUGAAAUGCGUAGAGAUCGGGAGGAACACCAGUGGCGAAGGCGGCUAACUGGACUGUAACUGACGCUGAGGCGCGAAAGUGUGGGGAGCAAACA
rnacentral:rRNA from 1 species